CCUCUCUCUUGAGGUAAAGACAGCUUGGCCUGGAUAGAGAAGUGGGGGCAAAGAGGGAGGCUCCGGGAGGCCUAGAAAGAGGACUUGCCAGUGCCCCUCGCCCCCUGCCUGCUCCAAAGCAAAGGAACCUCCUUCUUCCAGAAGCUGCUCAAAGGUUUCGCUGACUUCAGAGGGAUGGAGAAGGGAGAAAUGAGGGGAAGCCUCUAAGGUAAGGAAGCUUUUGCUGAGCCUGCAGGCUACCCAGCCCCUCCCUGGUUCCUCAUUACCAAGGUCCGGGGGCAUGAAAGGCCUUUUUAUUUGAAGGUCAAGAAGAACCCAGGGCUGUGUUAAUGACCAGCCUGCACCAGGGCAAGGCCGGAGGCAGGGGACUGCCUUUCUUGACCCUGAAAUCCCUUCGGCCUUUUUCUGCUGUGCCAAUGGCCUAUUUUUCUAGAACUUGUCUCUACUGCCUUAGUCCUGUCGUCUUGGACCCUGAAGAGGCCUCCAGAGGAAGGAAGUGAGGGAGGCAAGGAGAAGGCAUCUAGUGCGUCUGAGGAACUCACCUACUGGGUCUGGGAAACUGAGGAGGGCUGGACAACAUUCAGUUUCAAUGACUCCCAGACCCUUAGGUAUGACAAAUAUUUUAUAUAAAUGUCAAUGCAGUAAGAAAUGUGGUGAAGCAGAGAUAUACCUGAUGAAUUAGGAAAUUUACAUUGUUUCAUCUUUAUAUUGAUUCUGACAAUGGCUUGAUGAAAUAGAAGGCAGAGUCCACUUGCCUGUUUUAUAAACAACAAACGCAUGGGCCAGAGAAGUUAAUGGAUCUGUUCCAAUUCACAUCCCUAAAGCAGUGCGGAUGGGACUCCAAUCCAUGUCUCUGUGACUUCAAAUCUACAACAACAAGAAGAAGCAGCUGGGACUCCCAGACCGAGUGCAUGACUGCCACCCCCAUGCCGCCCCCUGGUUUUGUGAUGAAGGAGGAGCCUGGUGAGUUGAUUUCGAGCUUGAACUCCAGCUCCACUCACUUAUUUGGAAGACACUUCCGGAACCCACCAGGCUGGCGCCAAGGCUGAGGCCACCAGAACCUCUCACUGACAGAGGGGUAAGAGCCAGCCAGGUUUUCCUUCGCCGAAAUAACCGUGAUUGCGGCACAUCGGACGCCUGAAGCUUCUGACCUGCUCUGAGCGCCCUUAAAGUUACCAGACCUGACCAUGCCAAGGUGACCCGAACUCCUGGGAGCGACCUCAAGACCCGCAACACGGCCUCGCCCGCCGCAGCCCAGCCCGCCGCAGCCCAGCCGAGGAUUGAGUUCGCUGGCAGUCUGAGUUUCUGGAGCUUGAAGGUCUCCUUCCGCCCUUCCUCUGAGACCAAAUCUCUGCUCCCCGAGGCGGAGGCGCGACGCAUUAAGGCGAGAAGUCUGGGUGGAUGUGGCCACACAGCAGGUUCGGUCCAGAAAGCAAGCGUGCCUCAUUCUCGCCUUUCCUGCGGGGGAGGAGUGGGAAAGCCCGCACACCCGCAGAUCGCCAAGGGAGCCUGCCAGCCCCAGGCCGUCGCUGCCAGCAGCGCUGUUGCUACAGGGAGUAGGUUCCUAGAAGGAGGUGGCGUCCUCUGAGGUCUCACCUGCGGAGGACUAGGGCUCUCUCUGCUCCCUCUCUUCUCCGGCACCUCUGGCUGAGGGCCUGGCUAAGGGGAUACCAUCUGCCACAGAAAAUACCUCAGACCCAGCAGGACCCACCUGACAGCUGAAUAGGGCCAGGGAUAGAGGCUAAGGGUGGGGCAAGCUAGGGUGUGCCUGUGGCCUCCGUCCUUUCCGAAGUGCUCUACUGGGCCCACUGGGAGCUACUGGGGAAGCCAAACUUGGUGCCCUCCUGCUGUGCCUGUGGAGCCCUGAUGGCAGGGCCACAAAGAUCUGUCUUGCCCUGAAC
rnacentral:lncRNA from 9 species